CUCAAUGUUCUUUUCCUUGUCCUCUCUCAGCACUGAGUGUGUUUUUUGCUAUGGAAGAGCAAGAGGAGGUGCAGAUUUCAGCUAGUGAAAAAUACAAGGGGAAGUAAAGAAAAUAAGAAGAGGAGGAGGAGAGAGAGAGACAGACUUCACCCCCAUCUCCCUCUUCCUCUCCCUCAUUCUCGCCUCUGCCAACGACUUCUACCUCAGAAAUAGCGGAGGGACCAACUUCAAAAGGCAGUCAGGAGGGAGCUGGAGUGCGAAAUCUGAGAAGAGAAGCAAGAUGAGAGGCUGACCGGCGCUGUGUUUGCUAUUCUGUCCAGGAGCUGCCAGGACAGCAGACGGGAACCUACGGAUGACACCUGGCAUAAAUCUCUGUAAUCAUGGAAGACUCCACUGCUGAAGCCUGAAGGCCUUCGAUGGGAUAUGCACAAGGCUCUACAUUCACCUAAUGGCUUGUUUCUGAAGCUCGGGAGUGAAUUCUUCAUCCUUUUACAGCGUAAGAACAGAACUUUGGAUGAUCAAGCAGCAAGAUAGAAGAACGAGUGAGGGGACAUCCUGGAUCCAAAGGGGAGGAAAGCCAGGUAUUGAUGACUGGAGGCCGAGGCAGAGCCCGUCCGCUUUUCUUCCCCAGCGGGCGUCAGUGUCAGUGUUUUCCCGCGCCAGGUCAUGUUGGAUUUAAAGACAGGCUGGAAAUCCCCUGAUGAAUCAACAUUUAACACUUUGCUGCCACAUCAACCAAAAAGCUGCAAAUGUUUUUUUGGACGUUUGAAGGAAAAGAGCUUAAGCACAUUGGCUGCAGUUAAUGUUUUGGAUAAUUUUUUUUUUUUCUCUUUUUUUUACUUCAGCAGCCUUGAUACCAGAAAGCUUUGCACAUGUAUGUUUGCACAGAGGUUUGAUUUUGGGGUUUCAGGUUGGUUUCUUUUUGUUUUUAAACUGAGCUGGAAAGAUUCUGAAGGACUGUUUGACUGGAUGUGAGUUCUGUAGGAAGAUGUUAAAUCAUUUCCAGACGUGCUCUGUGUCUUUCAGAGGGUCCUAAAACACCCAUAUUUAACAUAUUGGUCUUUUAUCUUACUGUUUUCAAUGAGUCUUUGAGUAGAGCUGCAACAAUUGGCUUAUUAACUGAUUAGCUAUUUUGAUAAUUGUUUAAUCCUCUCAGUCAUUUUAUUAAGCAAAACUGCCAAUUUUUGCUGCUUCCAGCUCUAAUCUGGAUAUCUUUGGGUUUGGGAUUGUUGGUCAGACUAAACAAAAAAACGCAGACAUCAGUUUGGACUGUUGGAAAUUGUAAUGUUUUCAAUAUUUUCAGACCUUUUACAACAAAACAAUUAAUGGAUUAAUUGAGAAAAUAAUCAACAGAUUAGCCGAUAAUGAAAAUUAUUGUUAUUUUUUUAUUCCACACAAGAAAAAUGAAGUGUCAGAGCAGAAAAAGUCAUGUACAGUAUAUAAGCAGUGUUUAGGGUGGAAACAAUUAAUCAUCAAUUAAUUGAUUAUUCCAUAGACAGAAAAUAAUUGGCAACUAUUAUGAUAAUUGAUUAAUCUUUUCAGUCAUUUUUAAACAUAAAUGCCAAACAUUUUCUGUUUUUAGCUCCUCCAUUAUGUGUGUUGCCUUUCCAUGUCUAAUGUGUCGACUGGACAUCUUUGGGUGUUGGACUAAUGAAACACUGGAAGACGUCACCUUGGACUUUAUAUUAAACAGCUAUUUUCUGACAUUUUAUUGAAAUAAUUGGUACAUUAACAGAUGAUAAACAGAGGAUAAUAAUCAUUAUUUGCAACCUGCUUUGGUUAUCUUUAAAUUUGACAAUACGUUGUAAAUGGUAGAAGUGAAACAUAAAAGAUGUAGUAUCUGCUCGUGGAUAAGAUCUAAGGGAACUUUUUUGAGUGUCUUAGGUUCAGAAGAAAGUACAGGAAAGGUUGCAUAGUCUUUAAGAAUCUUUAAAAAACAUAAUAUAAACAUUAUUUGCAUGUACUAUGUAUUAUUAAAUACAGUACUGUACAAUAUUGCAAUCUGAAGACACAAGACACAGCCCUCCAUUAUUUGUGACUGUUAGCUUCUUGUCCUUGUUUUAGCUUCAUGUCUUCUGUAUGUGUAUCACUGGAAACCCUAGUCAGAGUCCCUGUGUGUCCAAACAUGCUUGGCCAAUAAAGUUGGUUCCUUUUUUUUAAAGGUCUGUUUUUUCUUUUUGUUAGUAUUUUUAGUUUUAGUUGUUUCAUGCUUUAUUAUUGUAUAGGGCAGACACUUAUAAUGUAUAGUUUACUACUUUCUUUGUGGGAUCAAGUGAAGUUGUCUUAUCGCAUAUGCUAUGCAAUGCUAUGUAUACUAUGAAGCAUUUGUUCAAUUUACAAAAUUGCUGUCUUCAUAAUCUGAUGUUCAUGAUAUCUGACAAAAGGCAGACAAGGCCAAAGCAGUUGUAAGCCAAGCUACAAUACUUAUUUCCUGCUUAUAUUUUAGCAUGACACUGCAAUAUCCAUGACCUGUUGUGACCCGCCCAACAACCUCAGAUUCAAGGAAUCACCUUCAACUUGCUUCUUUCAACCGUCUUUUCUCAUUCGUAACUCUACUGCUUUCAUUUUCUUCCAGCUCGCUUGUUCUGUAUCUCACCUGUCUGCUCUGUGACUUGACUUUGCAUAUUGGCAGUGUUUUAAAUUUCGUACUCUAAUAAAUUUCCAUUUGUCAGUUCUGUUUUAUCUAUGCAAUAUGUCAUUAACUGAUAUCCCAAUAUACUGUUCAGCUCAGUAACACUGAAUUGUAUGUGUAGUCUAUGUUAGUGAAAAUAAAUGGUCACUUUCAUAUUAUUCCAUUGAAAACUUCAAAUAUAUGCAAAUGUAACAUGUUAUAUUCUGUUAUGAGCAGACAAUUUUGUUUGUCCUCGUUUGUCUACACACUUAAAAUCAUAGAUAGUAUAGAGUAAACGUUAUGUGAUGUGAUUCAAAUGAGACUCGAAGAUUUAUGUGUUAAAUAUACCUUUGUAUCGCAGUGUUGUGUUUUAAUGACUGCAGGUCAUAUUUUACAACAUUGCUGAUGAUUAAACAACAUUAUAAUAUUUUGUAAUAAAUAAAGCAGUGAUGAGGGUAGAACAGUAAGUCCAGUGUUCUCUUCAGAUGUGUGGUGUUGAGAUAGGGACGUCUUACAGUUGUGUCUAAAUAAAGUCUUAACUGUUGUCAUUUCACAUGAUUAUCAGUUCCUUCCACUGCGGUGCUUAUUAAUAGAAGCUCUAAAUGAAUGCUGAGAUUUUGCCAUCUGACAUGUUUUACAUUUUAUCUUUGGAGAUAUUUUUAUAUCUUCUUAAAAGCUUGAAUUUGUCUCAACAAAUACCAGUCCCUUGGCAUGAUGUGUGUUUCUGCAGAGCUGCCAAUUUUACGGCCUCUCCCCUGCUGACAAUAUACAUUAAGCAGUAAAUGGACCUAAACAAAGAUAAAAAGACAACAAACAAGCAGCAGCAAGUUCUCAAAAGUCAGUGCAGAAAUUAGUCCACAUGAUUUGGAAUUGGAUGUAGGCAUUUGUGUAUGGUUAGUUGAACAGGUUACAAUACCACAAUAAUACAUUAUUAAUUCAUGUGUUGUGGUAAUUCUCUACAUAAAUACUGUAAAUAUUUAAUUAGUAAUGCAAAUAUCCAUUUUAUUUUAAGUACGCAAAUAUUCAUAAAUGUUUCACCUGCCAAAAUCAAGAACAAGCUUUAUGUGUUUUUAAUGUGUUCACACUGAUUUUGACAAGAGGAAGAGAAAUGUAAACUUCAGUGGUAUCACUCUGGUGCUCUGCUAAUGUGCUGUAGCCUAUAGUGUAUGUGAAGUUUGUCCCAAUAUUGUUGUUCAACAGCUUUGUCUUUCUCUCUCUUCCAGCUUAUUAGAACAGGUCAGUACAUGUCGGUGAAUGGUCCUUGAACAUGAGACGGAUAUGACAACCACACUGAAGCAAGCUUCAACUGCCCAUACACACAUUUUUGUGAACUACAGGAUAUCUUGACCGGGACAUAAAACCUGUACUGAUGUGCAAGCACACACACUCACAUCUAGCUAAAAAAAAAAAAUGUUAAUUUGAUUCUAAAAUGUUUUCCACAGUAACUUAAAUGUCCUUUUUUUGUAAUA